ensembl:lncRNA
CGACGGCGUGGAGUCUGUGCCCUGUUCCUCCCACACACGAGUGUUCGUUCAUGUUCGGCCUUGUGUCUGAGCAUUUCCUCUCGGUGUGUCUGUAACGAGGAAGCCACGGGCAGGUCGCACACAAACGUGUGGCUGCCGAGUGUGCGAGUGUGGCAACGUGUGGCAACUAUUCUGGUUUGCCAGCGACGUUUCCACAUAAACACUGGUGGCAGCUGCUGCCAUGGCAACACCAUUGUGCUCCCUCCCUCCCUCGCUCGUCUCCCCUCCCUCUCCCCAACCACUCCUCGCUCUCAUGCUCCGCCGGCUCAGAGAGCGAGGACCAGAGAGGAGAGAGGUCAGCUCGAUUCAGAGGACAGAAAGAAGAAAGGAAUAACCCGGAGUGGACGGGGACAGGAUGAGCGAGGACAGCCACUCCCACUACAGGCUGGACCCCAGCGAUCGCCUCAACGGGCUGGGACAGAGGAGGAAGAGACCCAAGAAGGCCAGAGAUGCUCUUCAAACAGCUGACAGACAUGACCACAUUACAAGAACAUGGUGUGAGUCCGAUUUGAUAUUCCAGUCAACGCUGAGAGACCUUAACCAGGAAGUCAGAGACGGACAGGGAAUCAGUUGCUGUACGAUGACAUCAUCUUGAUGUUGACGAGGAGGGCGAGAAAAACUAGUUUUGUCCUGCAGAUGGCGAUCUUGCACCGUGUUCAGAGAGCCGGCACUUUGAUGGUGCUGCUCUACUCAGCUUACUUUAGCCUGGGUUGGACUCUAUAUGAGCAGCUUCCACUCUGGUUUCACUCUUAAACACACUUGUUUGAUUUCACUUGUAAAAGUUGAAGAAUAAAUAUUUUAUUACAAAAUUAUUUGUUGAUGCAUUUUUUUA